GAGAACUAGACAAGAAUAUAUCUUUCUGUGAUAAUUAUAUUUUGAAAACUUAUCUUUAUGUUUUUUACUUGCAUUGCGAUUAAUAGGUUUAUCUUUGAAUUUUUUUUUUUUUUUUUUGUGGUUUUAUCAUGAGUGCUAUUUUUAUCAUGAGUUCUAUAAUUUUGAAGAGAAGCCAAUUGAGGAAAAUGCAAUAACCACGAGCUUUUUAGGAAGUGAAAAUAGAUUCACCGAAACCGCGUAACUGAUUCCAAUCAGAUUACUUCUUUAAAUAUAUGAUUUUGCAUUACACACAACUAAAGGGGUUUUACCAUUUUGGCCAAAUCUUCAAGUAUGUUAAUCUCUGUAGUAAACCAGGCAGAGUUAACAGGCUAGCAGCUUAAGUUACCUUUAGUACAAAUGGCAUCUAAAUGUUGCUUGUGCAGACAGCAUUCUUCACCUUAAAGUUGCCCAAAGCAGUUCAACAUCUUUUCGAAAUUUAUUCACUUCUUGUCUACUUUAGCUUCGUCAGAUCACGAUGAUAUAUACUUGUUCUUUCGAUACUGAUCACAUGAUUUCAUACACAAGUUUCUGUUGUUUGUUAGUUCUUUACUUGGAUCACAGAUUUUUCCCAACCGUAGGAUACCCUAUUAGUAAUGCUGCUCCUACUUUCUUCUGUUUGUAAGUUCUUUGCUUGGAGUUCUGUUUUUUGGUGCUGGCAUGACUUUAACUAAUGAUACUAAAUGUAUGUAACAUGUUUCAUGUGAAACACAUGCAUUUCUGUUUUCUCCUCUUAAACUGUUAAUUUGUUAGUAAUUAUAUUGAUUAAAAAUAUCCGAUUUAUCCAAAAAAUUUCCGAUAAAUCUCUGAUAAAUCCUGAAUCGGUAGGUCAACCGAUUAGUUCCGAUUCCUGAUUUCUACCCCCAUGCUUACAGCUAGAGUUUGACAGAUAAAUUGAUAGGUAAUCCUAAUAAAAUCAGGCAAUAAGGUGCUCUGCUAAAAUCAAUUUUUCCCCCUAAAUUGUAAUAAUCCUUCGAAAGAAAAUUAUACUUGGCUUCUAACAUUCUCCUUACCUUUAUUCCUUUUCUUGCAGUCUAUAUGUAAGUUUAUUUGUCAUUUUUGGGAACAGGAGAUCUUUCACAUGCAUAUCGUUCAAGUACUGUGUCUCUAAUAAUUGAAUAAGAUAUAUAUUAGAAGCUUGUAGCACCAUGCAAGAGAUGGAAGAAGGUACCAGACAAUCAAACAAGGCCUUACUUACACGGAGACUAAGCAAGGUUUACUCAAGUUUAACGAAGGAUAGACCAGAGUCAGAAAAGGAUCUUCGCGACUGCUGGAAUGCAGCACCUGCAGCUCCCAUAGAUGGCCGGGGCAACACACUUCUUCAUUUAUUAGUCAUCCGUGGAAAUGAAGAGCGUUUGAAAAAUCUAAUGGGUGAAGUUAAGAGAUAUGAAAACCUCAAGAAGAAAAACAUAAGAGGCGACACUGCGCUACAUGAAGCCGCAAGGUGUGGCAAUGUGAAAGCUGCUGCAUUGUUGCUAGAAAAGGAAAAAGAGUUGAUUUCAAAUCUCCGCUGUGCAGUUGAGAUGUGCAAUUGUGAAAAGUGUGAAAUGGCAUCAUUGGCAAAGAACAAUAGUUUAGUUUUUGUCCGCAAUGAGAUGGGUGAAACCGCACUUUUCCUUGCAGCUGCAUUUGGGCAAAUGGCAUUUUUUCGAACAAUUCUGCAAUAUAACAACGAUGAUUGCAACAACACAAGAAACGAUGGCUGUACUGUUCUUCAUGCUGCUAUCAGUGGUGAAUAUUAUCGUAAGUUUUCUUUUUCUUCUGCUGCUUAUUUUAUUUAAGCAAAACAUCCAGAUGCCUAAAUAAAAUCUCUAGUCCAAAGCCAACUUUCUGUCUUUCUAAGACAGAUUAAUUGUAAUACUUCCAACCAGAGCUUCUGGUUUUGAGUUUUGACCCCUGUCCUACAAAAUGCAGGUACAGCUACAAAGAUAUUGAGUAAACUCCCUAAACUUGCUGGCAAACGUAACAAUAGAGGGGAGACUGCUUUAAAUCUGCUGGCCAUCUCACCAUCUUCCUUUGAAAGCAAUUCUUUCUAUGUAUUUUCGAAUAUGGGCAAGACAUCCUUCAUUCCUCUCCAGGUUUUGAGGGUUUUAUUCUACAAGUGUAAGAGUACUAAUCCUCUGUUCGCAAAUGUAUAUUAAGACAUAUAAUAUUAAGCCUUCUGUUUCCUGCAAAUGAAAUGUAUUUGUACUUGAAUUCUACAGUACCUUCUGUUUGCUUGCGUAAGCGGGCUAAUUUCGGAUUAUAUUUCAUUUAGCAUUCAUCUUGUUGUAACUUGUUAAUUGAAAGUGCAGAUUGAAUUAUGACUAUGGUGGGAUAAUGUCUGCAAUAUCUAAUUUAGUUUUAAUGUUAUGUAUGAAGCAGGUUUACCAUCCAAGUAUGCUAUCAAGAUGAUGAAAAGCGAUGGUGAUUCUGCUGCAGAUACAAAAACCACUACCCAUAUCGAAGAUAUAGAAAGAUUUUCCUUCUUCGACUAUAUUUUAGGUAUAAUCCAUCUCUCUCAAGUGAAAUUCAUCCAAAUCUAAAUAUUCAUGCGUGUACGAAUGUAUAAUCAACUACUACACAGAUGGCAUCAUGUGUGAUUGAAUUUCUGCAGUCGUCUGCACAUCUGACAUCUCUAAUCAAGCUCGCGCCUACCUAAAGUUGGUAUUUUAAAUUUUUUAACAGAACUAUUAUUUGGACUAUACGGGACAGUUGUUCAGUCCUCUAGAAAAACUCUGUAAAUGUGAUGUUGAGUAGCAAUAAAUUUGGAUUCUCUAAGUUGCCACUCUUAUUAAUCUUUAUCAUUAGCAAGUUUACCUCUGAGAAGAAGCCAGGGGUGGCGAUUUGAAGGGUCGGAAAUGCCAAAAAUCCAUCUUUUAUAUAAAGAAGUUAUAUUUCAACAACUUAUCAAAUUAGUGAUGUCUGAAUAUCUUUCCCAGGAUUGCCUUGGAUUCAACCAAUAGAUGAUGCAAAUCAGAAGAACAAGCUUGCAGUAGCACUUGCGCAACAAUUGCUAGAGAAGGAGACAGAUUGGAGUAACUACACAGAUCCAAAACAUAAGUAUGACGAUGAGUCACCAUCACGAGGAAAAAAGAAAGGAGAAGUACUAAACCCGCUUAUACAAGCCAUACAGAUGGGCAUACCAGAGCUAGUCGAUAGAAUCCUUUAUUAUUUUCCUGAUGCUGCAAACUCUUUUGAUGAGGAUCAAAAGAAUGUAUUUCACAUUGCAGCCGAACAUAGAAAUGGUGACAUUUAUGAGAUGCUGAAAAAAUCUGCCAUUAACAAGGACAGAAUGUUGUUAGAUGUUGAUGAUCAAGGAAACACAAUAUUGCAUCAUGCAACAAAAUCCAAGAUUAUUACCAAGUUUUCUCUUGGAGUAGCAAACCUGAUGGCCUGGGAUAUCUUUUGGUUUCAGGUAUGUUCACUACUAGUAUAAUGUAUUUGCAUAACAAUUAUAAAUGCAUUUCCUCAUUUGUUUUUAUCUUAUUUGUUAUUUGGUCAAUAUAAUAGUUUUUAUGUAUGUCUAUGACAGCGUAUAAGGCAUGAUUGUUCUCCACAUUUGCUGCAUAUGCGAAAUAAAGAAGGAAAUACAGCAGAAGAUCUACUUUUAAAAGAUUACAAAAGCAAACGAGAAGCAGCUGAGAGUGCAGUUAAAGAAAUGAACCAAGGCCUAAUGGUUGUGGCAGCAUUGAUUGCCACUGUGAGUUUUGCAGCAGUUUUUACUAUUCCUGGAGGUUUUGAUCAAACUAAAGGGAAUCCUAUCUUCUACAACAAACCAAGUGAUCCGAAACAUAGUCAUAAAAAUGAUUUAAGUCUGUUUCUAGGUUAUGUUGGGCUUACCUUCUUUGCUUCUUUACUCGCACUGGCAACUCUUCUGUCUAUUCAGCUGUCCAGAUUUAGUAUGGAUGAUUUGUACUUCUCAUUGCCCCUAAAGUACUCGAUUGCCAUUUCUUUUCUCUUCCUCUCCUCCUGCUCUACAAUCACCACAUUUCUUCAGGCCUUAAUUCUUGAGGAUUACCUUUCACCGUAUUACCUCACUUGCCUCAUUAUUGGUUGCGUCGUCAUGGGUCUUGUUUAUGUGGACUCUAUAUACGACGUCUUGAGUUACUUAGUGGAGGUUUUACGGCAUUCACGCACUUACAGGACUCAAGAAGGGUAAUAGCUAGGCAGCUAACUAGGGUCAGAUAACAUGUCUGAAUAAUAUUAAAAACCAGUGCCAGGUAUUGGUAAGAGACACAUUGUACUCAACAUCAGACCCUGUGUUUUUCUUGUUCUUUCUGAUAUCCCUUUCAUUCCACAUUUUACUUGUAUUUUUCUUGAAUAAUUUUUUCAGAGCAUGAAUAUUAGUAUUUCAUCAACUUUGUAUUUGUUUUGGAUUGAUGAUAUUUUUUUAAUAAUUUUGCAUAUGUGAAGUUCGAAAGUCUGGCUCUAAUGUAUUAAAUAUACAUUGAUAAAUUUAUAAAUUUUAAGAGGGUUCUUAAAAUCCCUCUUAGGCUCCUAUUAGUUUAUCAUGCACCACUUAAAUUUUGAAUGGCUAGCCGAAGAUUUCAGGUCCUGCUGGUCAAUUUGUAGAUAGCGUUCGGUGCUUCUUUAUUUUUCCUUCAUGAACUCAGAGUCCUUCAUAUACAAUUUUAGAGGCUGUUUGACGGUGAUUAAAGCCGGGGCUCUAAGUCAUUUUUAAGUUGGAACACUCCUUACUUUAACUUUUUAUAUAUUAAAAGCACCAACAUAUUGGCGAUUAUUUCACACAUUCCAUAUCAGCCACACCAGAUAGUUGAUGUUGGCAAUUGGAAAUUAUUUAGUACAUGAUGAUAAUCAGAUUCAUGUUUAGCAGUUAACUGGGGCAAUGACAGCACCAACGACAGUAAGGCCAGUCUUCCAGGUGGUUCCAUCACAUCCAUUCAUCGAGAACUUGACAGUAUUCUCACAGCCGCAGGCGCCUGUGUUGCAGAAUUCACCAACCUUAAGUCCCACCAAUGCAUUCGUUGGCUUGGUCUUCAAAUCUUCCUUGUGCUCUUCAGUAGUGCCGUUGGGACGAGUAAGCUUAAGGGUCACUGGACCAUUCAUGCAAAGAUUGUCGCUAAGCUCCACAGCAAGAUACACUGCGUAUUUCACUCCCUUGGUGAGGUUGUUGGCAUUGUACUUUCCGUCAAUUUGUAGCCAGCAUACUGUGAUCAGUUCAGCAACCUCCAUAGGCUGGCAGCUGUGUGUACAAAAGUCCGAAAAACCAAAUAUUAUGUAAAAAUUAUCUCAAAUCUUUGGUCUCGAAAAAUGGAAGUCAAUGGGAUGUUUGGGUUAGCUGAAAAGAAGUGACUUUUUACUUAAAUUAAAGAAGUGGAGUAGAAGUGAGAAGUAAAUAAGUUAAUAAAGAGUUUGGAAAAGAGGUAGAAGCUGUGAGAGAAAAUCUAGUAUCCUCAGCUUCUUAAAAGUGCUUCUACUUAUUUACACAAACAGCUCAAGAAAAGCAUAAGCCAACACCAACUUCUGUCCGGUCAUUAAAUUUGUAGUACAAAAACACCAAAAGCUUUCCAACAUGUGCUAUACAUACCUGAUUGGGUAUGUCUUAGAAACCCAUUUCCAGUAGCGGCUGUCUGAACCCCAAACUAUUGAGAGUUCCUUUGCACUGAUCACCGCAGCGAAGGACUGGACCAAUUAAUCAACAUUAACGGAGAUAUAUAUAUCGUACAAAAUUAUAUGACUAAUUAGACUAUAAUUAAGAACAAGUCACACGCAGGCAGGUGUGUGCAUGGUGCAUAACAAUAAUACUAUUGCAGAAUUAUAAUUUCAUUAAUUACCUAAAUAAAAAAAGAAGUGAAAAUUAAAAACCAAAAUAACUUACACUCUUGUCUUUCGCAGCCUGGACACCUUGAGUCCACAAUGACACGAUGUCAUCACGCACACGCUGCACUUGAGCCAUCCUCCUUGCUAGUUGAGAAUAAGAAGUUCUUAUGUAAUUCUUGUGCUGUCGAUGCCAAUCCUCACUUCCUUGAGCUCUAUUUAUAGCAUUUCCGACGGUCCUAUUUGUCCACUGAUUGAUAGUUACACUUAACCUUAUCUACGGUAGUAGGAUGCUCUGUCCCGUUAUUCUUUCUUUUUAUAAAAUAAGUGGAGCUUGGAUAAGAGAUUCAUCAAUUAUUUAUGCCAAUUGUGCGGUACAAGCCUCACUGGAAUCUGGUGAAUUUCGGUUUUGAUUGAAAUACUCAUAUAACGACGAAAGCGUGGAAGCAUCCGACUACGAGAAAAGAAUUACAGUGACAGGACUACUUCUGUCAGAGCAGGACAUUACUCAACUCGAUUAACUCUGAAAUUUAAUAUUGGCACACAUGAACCAAACCACAAAAAACUGAGCUUCUCAUGAAUCAUUAAACCAGAAUAUUUAGGAAACUGAACUAGAAAAUUCGUCACAAGAUCUGCCUGUAUAAAUAAACUUAUAAUUACUUUUAAGGCUGUUAAAUUUCAUAAUAUAUGUUUGUGAAAAAAUAUUUGAAAUCCAGACAACCGACUACCAUAGGCUGUUUCUAACCUGGUAACCUUUUUGCCCAGAUACCGACCAAAUUAAGUUAUUUCUAAGUAAACACAUAAUUUAAGAAAUGAACCUCACAUUUCCGACCGCUAGUGUAUGAAAUCGGUCGGUAAUGACUUGACGGUCGGAAAUGAAUUUAGUUUGUCGGUUUUUAAACAGAGAAUCCCCAAAUGAUCCUGCAAUACCUUCUGACUGACUCAUUUCCGACCAACUAAAAUAUUGGUCACUUUUAUAAUAGGGGCUCCCCAAUUGAACCUUGAAUUUCGUUCUGACCAAAUCAUUUCCGACCAACGUUAUUGGUUGGUUUUAAAACAGGGCCCCGAAUGAACCCUAAAAUUUAUUUCUGGCCGCCUCUAGUUGGUUUUAGGUCUAUUCAAGUGUAUGCCAGGUUCUAAGAAAAUUUUAAAACAUUACCGACUAAAGAUAGCGGUCGGUUGUCGAUCGGUUAUAAAUAUCAUUUCCGAUCUUUUAUUUACAACCAGGUUUCAAAGGACCAACACAAUCGGUCGGUCGGUGGUCGGUUACGAGGUGAAAACCGACCAACUCUCUUUAUUUCCGGUCGGCGGUCGGAAAUGCCCGCUUUUCUUGUAGUGAUAGCAAUUUCUAUCGGAACACAAUAUCUUACACCUUUAAGUCAUAAAUCACUGUUUUAAACUUUCCAAACAGCUUCCAAGUGUCAUAUUAAGCUUAUCUGAUGGCCCUUGUACUCGAAACAGUAUAAACCAUAUACAAACGAACACCACCAGAGCAAGGGUGUAGCCAAAAAGCUCAGAAAUUGCGUUAAAAACUUUUUAACAUCUUUGUACGAGGGAGUAACUAAACAAAAGGUGAUUAAAGCACUCUGCUUAAAGUGUCAACAAAACUAAGUUCGUGUUCACUUGAAUGAAAUAAAAUGAAAUGAAAAAUUGUUUGUAAAUUUAAUGGAAAAUGAACAAGUUACGAGCAGUGUUACGAAAAUUGGACCUAAUCAGUUAACCUACCCAUUUAGGAUUAUGAGCAAUCCGUGAUUAAUCGGAAGGAUUAAUUGGAGUGAAAACCAGAUAUAUUUUAAUAUUAAAUAACAUUUAAUAUUUUGUUAUUAUUGUAUUAGUUAUUUAUUAACAAAUAUAUAUUUAGUAUAUCAUAAAUUCUACAGUUGUUCAUAUUUAAAGUAAUAUAAUAGUUAAUUUUAAUAAAUUUUAUAGAUAAUUUGAUUAAGAAUAAUUUAUAAGGAUUAAUCAGAUUUUAAAAAUCAUAUCGGUCGCCUACCUUGGGGGAUUGAUCGUUAAAUCAAGGGAUUUUUAGAACAAUGGAUACGAGGCAAUAGUGACUAAACACGGAUGAGCCUAAAUUUAGUGUACUCUUAGACUUUGUUCACUUGGAUGGAAUGAAAUGCUGGGAGAAUGAAAUGAUAUUUGUAUUAUAUUUUGGGGAGGUUGGAGUAAAUGUUUAUUAUUUUCAUUCCUUCUAUCAUUCUACACACCAUUCUACACCAUUUGAGUUAAAAAAUCUAACCCACAUAUUUUCAAAGGAAUGCUCGAUUCCAUUUCUUCUCUAUCUUCCCCAACAAUCCCCGUCAUGCAAAAUUCAGAUUCUCAACCUCACUCACUAUUGUCUCAUACAUUCUCCUUUCUCUUUUGUAGUUUUUCAUUCCAAGUAAACGCAACUUUAGUGUGCUUAAUUAAACAAACAUCAGCAGACAACAAUAUACAGUUCCUCAUUAUGUUUAACUUAUCUUUUAGUCAGAUCUUUAAGUUGAAAGUGCUAAAGUGACAGUAGAGACCUUGAAGCAAUUACGAGCUAAACGUUAUAAUAGCUUGAACACUCCGUACUUUAACUUUUUAUAUAUUAUAACACCAACAUAUUGGCGAUUAUUUCACACAUUCCAUAUCAGCCACACGUACCAGACAGGUGAUGCUGGCAAUUAACUGGAAAUUAUUUAGUACAUGAUGAUUAUAAUGAGAUUCAUGUUUAGCAGUUAACUGGGGCAAUGACAGCACCAACGACAGUAAGGCCCGUCUUCCAGGUGGUUCCAUCACAUCCAUUCAUCGAGAACUUGACAUCAGUAUUCUCACAGCCACAGGCGCCUGUGUUGCAGAAUUCACCAACCUUAAGUCCCACCAAAGUAUUCGUUGGCUUUGUCUUCAAAUCUUCCUUGUGCUCUUCAGUAGUGCCGUUGGGACGAGUAAGCUUAAGGGUCACUGGUCCAUUCAUGCAAAGAUUGUCGCUAAGCUCCACAGCAAGAUACACUGCGUAUUUCACUCCCUUGGUGAGGUUGUUGGCAUUGUACUUUCCGUCAAUUUGUAGCCAGCAUACUGUGAUCAGUUCAGCAACCUCCAUAGGCUGGCAGCUGUGUGUACAAAAGUCCGAAAAACCAAAUAUUAUGUAAAAAUUAUCUCAAAUCUUUGGUCUCGAAAAAUGGAAGUCAAUGGGCUGUUUGGGUUAGCUGAAAAGAAGGGACUUUUUACUUAAAUUAAAAAAGGGGAGUAGAAGUGAGAAGUAAAUAAGUUAAUAAAGAGUUUGGAAAAGAAGUAGAAGUUGUGAGAGAAAAUCUAGUGUGCCUGUUUGUUUAGCAGAAGCAGGGGCUUCUGCUUCUGACUUCUGCUUCUUGACCCGUUUGUGUAAAGAAGUAGAAGCACUUUUAAGAAGCUGAGAAUGCUAGCUUCUCUCUCACAGCUUCUACUUUUUUUCCAAACACUUUAUUCACUUAUUUACUUCUCACUUCUAAUUCACUUCUUUAUUUUAAACAAAGAAGCACUUCUUUUAAGCUUAGCCAAACGGCCCCAGUAUCUUCAGUUUCUUAAAAGUGCUUUUACUUAUUUACACAAACAGCUCAAGAAAAGCAGAAGCCAGAAGCAACUUCUGUCUCGUCAUUAAAUUUGUAGUACAAAAACACCAAAAGCUUUCCAACAUGUGCUAUACAUACCUGAUUGGGUAUGUCUUAGAAACCCAUUUCCAGUAGCGGCUGUCUGAACCCCAAACUAUUGAGAGUUCCUUUGCACUGAUAACCGCAGCGAAGGACUGGACCAAUUAAUCAACAUUAACGGAGAUAUUUCCGAAUCAAAAUAUAUCGUACAAAAUUUAUAUGACUAAUUAGACUAUAAUUAAGAACAAGUCACACGCAGGCAUACUGGUGUGGGCAUGGUGCAUGACACUAAUACUAUUGCAGAAUUAUAAUUUCAUAAUUACCUAAAUAAAAAAAUAGUGAAAAUUAACAACCAAAAUAACUUACACUCUUGUCUUUCGCAGCCUGGACACCUUGAGUCCACAAUGACACGAUGUCAUCACGCACACGCUGCACUUGAGCCAUCCUCCUUGCUAGUUGAGAAUAAGAAGUUCUUAUGUAAUUCUUGUGCUGUCGAUGCCAAUCCUCACUUCCUUGAGCUCUAUUUAUAGCGUUGCGUACGGUCCUAUUUGUGCACUUAUUGAUAGUUACACUUAAACUUAUCUACGGUAGUCGGAUGCUCUGUCCCGUUAUUCUUUCUUUUUAUAAAAUAAGUGGAGCUUGGAUAAGAGAUUCAUCAAUUAUUUAUGCCAUUUGUGCGGUACAAGCCUCACUGGAAUCUGGUAACUUUCGGUUUUGAUUGAAAUACUCAUAUAACGACGAAAUCGUGGAAGCAUCCGACUAUGAGAAAAGAAAUACAGUGACAGGAGUACUUCUGUCAGAUCUAGGAGCCUAGGACAUUACUCAGCUCGAUUAACUCUGAAAUUUAAUAUUGGCACAGAUGAACCAAACCACGAAACAUUGAGCUUCUCAGUAAUUGUUGAACCAGAAUCUGGAAACUGAAGUAGAAUAUUCGUCACAAGAUCUUCCUGUAUAAAUAAACUUAUAAUUACUUUCAAGGCUGUUACAUUUGGUAAUGAGUAAUGCUACGUACACAGAAACGGAUACAGAUUUGUGUACAGAAUGACGUGGAUUCCACCGACUUUCUCACUUCAUUUAUCAUUCAUACUCUGUCGUUGUUUUCUUUUCUUUUUUCAAUACAUCUCCGCUUCUUUUAGUUCUGUCUUCUACUUUUGAGUCUUUAUAGUAUUUUGUUAUAUAGGCAGUUUAUAUGUUUAAUCGAUUUUUGAUAAUUUUAUUAUAUAAACAAAUAUAUUUUUUUUACAUUUUGAUAUCUUUCUUUACUUCUAUUAUUCAAUAUAUUUAUCAUAUAUGUAUUAUUAUCUUGAAAUUUGACAUUUUCUUCCAUAAUUUAUUUACUGUAUUUUGUAGUGGAUUGAUCUAUUUUAUAUUCCAAAACUCUUAAAUAUCUAUUUUAUCAUUCAUAUUACCAACAUAUUUAACAUAUUCGUUAUACAUGAAAUAUUUUUGUGCGAUUAUAAUAUCUUAAAUGGCAUUUACUACUUUUAAAUUAAGAUAAUGAAUAUUCUAAAUUUUAAAACUUUAAACGUUAUUUAGAAUUUUAUAUUCAGCGAGCACUUUUGUUAUACAUGUAGUUGUGAUUUUUAAACAUUUUUUGUUCAAAUAAAAUUUUGACAACUUUUAAUUUAAAAUAUAUAUUUAUAUUUAUUUUGUAGAAGUUUCUUUCUCUUAAUUAGCUGAUAUAUUUAUACGAAACUUUUUUAUUUUAUAUUCCAAAACAAUCAAAUAUAUAUUUUAUUUUUAGAAUAGAAAAUAAACAAGUCCUCUACAGAAGUACAAUAAAUAAAUUAUUAUCUAAUAGAAGGACAAAUAUAUCAAAUUAUAAAAUUAUAAAGAUAAUAAUAAAAAAUGAAUUAGAUAAUACAAGUAAAACAAAUAUAUCAAUGUAUAAUAUAAAUAUAUUUGUAUAAAGAAUAAAAUGGUAAAAAACGAUUAAAGCAGAGGGUGUGUAUAAUAAAAAUAGCAGCAUAUAAAGACUCCAAGGCAAUAGAAAAAAAAUAAAGCAGAGGGUGGAAAGAAAAAAUCAAAGCCGAGGGAUGAAGAGUGAAUAAAGAUAAUAAAUGAAAAGAGAAUGAUAUUGGAAUCCACGUCAUUCUGACUCUGUACACAAUUCUGUAUCAGUUUCGGUGGACCUAGCAUUAUUCUUUCGUAAUAUAUGUUGGGUUUGUCUGUGCCCAUGGGUACAUGCUAAGCACGAAAUUUUAUAAGUUUGGUGAAUUUUAAUUGGUGUGGUUGGUGAAUUUGCAAGGGGUCCACCAUUAUAAAGAAAUAAGAGCCAAUCAAAAUCACUCAAACUUAAGAAUUUUAGUGCUUAGUGUGUGCCCCUAGGCACACACUAGAAAAACCGAUAUAUGUUUGUGAAUAUAUAAUGAAGUAGUAGCCAACACUACAAAAAACUGUCCUGUUUACGACGGAAAUUAAGCCUGAAAUCUGUCAUAAUUCCGAAGUUAUGACAGAAAAAUUCCGCCGUUUUUUAUCGAUUAGUAAGUUUAAAACCAUUCACAAAUUUCGGUAUACUUUGCAAGUUACAUAAGGCGUCACAAGUUUCACUAGAUGGCCUCCAUAAUUUCACUAUUAUAAUGGCAAACUUUACGACGCACAAUUCAUCGUAAGAUAGCUUUUUAUGACAGAAUUUUCAUUGUAAGUUGCGUAUUAUUCUAUUGGCAGAUGGGACCCACUUAUAUGAAAUUUACGACGAAAAUUUGAAUUUGUGACCAAUUUUUGAACUUUUGACUCGAGCAAAAAGACGGAAAAAAUCCGUCGUAAUUGGACCAUUUACGACGGAUUCAGUGUUAAAAAUCCGUCAUAAAUGGGUUUAUUUGUUGCAGUGAAUAUAUAGUUGCCCAUAAGGAGACUGAUGAAAAAGGAGUGGUACAUUUAGGUCCAAGAUUUAUAUUCUUGAUUGCUAGAAAUAAUUCGGAUGCUAUUUUAUUUUUAAUGAGUUAAGGUGGUGACCGAUAAAAUUUAAAUUCAAAUACUUUGGGACGUGGAAUAGUACUUUUUUUUUUUUUUAUUAAAAGUUAAUCCUUAUUAAAUCAUCAAAUGUUAGACAAUAGUGUCUCCGACAAGCAUAAUGGAGGAGACGAAAUAACAAUGAAGCUACUAAGCUUAUAAGAAUUUUAGCCAUCUAAUUAUCUGCUGCCUUAUUUGAAGGAUUUCUAACAUAUCUGGGAGUCACUUUCUAUAAUAUAUUCAGCUAUUAGUUCAGCAACCUCCAGAGCCUGGGAGCUGUGUGUACAAAAGUCCCAAAAACCAAAUAUUAUGUAAAACUAGUUGAGAAGCCGCGUUGCGGCGGCCUAUAAAAAUUAUAUUAAUGGCUCAAUAUUAAUAUUUGUAAAAUAAAAUAAUUUUGUGUUUGUCUAUAAAAAGUAUAUUAAUGUUUCAAAAUUAAUAUUUGUAGGAUAAAAUAAAUUUUAUAUUAUAAAAAUCUUGAUGUAAUACCAAUACUAAUAGAUAAAAUUGCAAAAUUGGACUAUAAUUCAUGAUGAAAAAAUGAAAAUAAAUUUAUACACGUAAUUAACAAUUUAAAACACGGCGAAUAUUAAUUUUAUUUGUGUUUUUUUAAAAGUAAUCAUGUUCUUACAUUGUCACUUUACUCCAAUUUUUUUGGAUUGAUUGUGCACAAACACGUCUAACUUAAAUCUGUGAGAUAGCGGUGUAUAACUACCCUUGCUUGUAACAAACUUUAAAUUUUAAUACUGUAUAAACAGUCUUACUUAAAAGUUGCUUGAAUAGAGCAAACAGAUAAUGCAUGAAUAAUUUUUUUUCAAUGUAUACAAAAUAAAUCAUAUAAAAAUUAACAACAUAUUCGAAGAACAAAAACAAACGUUAUAAAAUAAUAACCAACAAACAUACAUCACUAACAGUUAAUUUAUUGAUAUCAUCCAUCAAUAUCAUGUCAAGACUAUAUUCUUUUCCCGUGUUUUGAUUUGUCGACUCCAACAUAGCGGUCUAUAACUACCUUUGCUUACAACAACCUUUAUUUUUUUAAUACUGUAUAAACAGCCUUCACUUAUCGUUGCUGAAGAACGGCACUACCGAGUUAGAAAUCGAGCAAGAGAAUUAUCACCAAAGAGAGGUAAGGUUGUGGUAUUGAGAGAAAGAAUGUUGUGUUUAGAUGAUCUAAAACCCUACAAUCUAUAGGGGAUUUAUAGGUGCAGAGAGACCUGUGUGCUACUCUUUUCCAUAAUUAAAUAAUAUGAAACAAAAUCAGAUUAAAACUUUCAAGCUACUGUAUUCCAUAAAUAAUCUGAAACAAAAUUAGAUUCUGAAACUUGCUUCCAAUAUACCCGAAACUACUAAUCUGAAACAAAAUCAGAUUAAAACUUUCAAGCUACUAUAUUCCAUAAAUAAUCUGAAACAAAAUCAGAUUCUGAAACUUGCUUCUAAUAUACCCAAAACUAAAAAAGGUAGUUCUAGUUUUUGAUAUUUUUCAUCCAAAAAUUCCAGAAAAUUAGAAAAAUAGAACGGAGCGAUGUGAGAGACGCCACCUACACGCCCCUCGCUUCUCCUUUAUAUAAGUAUAUUGAUUUAUCUCAAAUCUUUGGUCUCGAUAAAUGGAAUUCAAUGUCCAGUCAUUAAAUUCCAACAUGUGCUAUAUAUACAGACCUGAUUGGGUAUUUCUUAGAAACCCAUUUCCAGUCAUAACCGCAGCGCACCUUACGCUCUUGUCUUUCACAGCCUGGACACCUUGAGUCCACAAUGAUAAGAUGUCAUCACGCUACACUUGAGCCAUCUUCUUGCUAGUUGGGAAUAAGAAGUUCUUGUGCAAUUCUUGUGCUGUCGAUGCCAAUACUCACUUCCUUGAGCUGUAUUUAUAGGGUUUCGGACGGUCCUAUUUGUCCACUUAUUGAUAGGUACACUUAUCCUUAUCUGCAUGUGGUAGGAGGAUGCUCUGUCUCAUUAUUCUUUCUUGUUAUUAAAUAAGUGGAGCUUGGACAUUACUCAACUCGAUCAACUCUGAAAUUUGAUAUUGGCACAGAUGAACAACCACGAAACAUUGAGCUUCUCAGUAAUUGUUGAACCAGAAUUUUCUGGAAACUGAACUAGAAAAUUCGCCACAAGAUCUUCCUGUAUAAAUAAACUUAUAAUUACUUUCAAGUUUCAAGGCUGCUAAUUAAAUUUCAUAAUAUAUGUUUGUGAAUAAAUUAUAUUGAAUUAGUAGCCAAGGAGAAGUUUAAUUGAUCAUGGGGUGAAAUGGGGUCUGGGUACAUCCACUAAUUUCAAAUAACGGCUACAAUGAGCCUACAACUUUAGACAAGACUACAAUGGAAGAAUGAAAUCUGUUACAAACGGAAUUGCAUGUGUCAUUUUUCACGGAUUUGGUACUUUUUUUUUGAGAAAUUCACGGAUUUAGUACUUGAAAUCCGUCAAAAAAGAAGGAUGUAUAGUAGCGCAGCCGCAGAACUAUUCAUGCAACUACAAUUAGAGAACACCGAUUCUACAAGUCUAUCACUCUUCUCGAUUACUAGGUAUAUAGAGUUGUGUAGUUAACAUAACUGCUGUAUGAAAUUUAACACCCUCCCUUGAUCGGGUCGAAAAGAAUUCCGUGCAAGAUAAAUUUUAAAAAAGGCGAUAUAAUUCUAACGUCAUUGAAAAUACUUUUGCAGACACUCAUUAGAGGAAAUUAAAUUUCAACGGUUUUUGGGUACUUGUAGUAGAAUUAGAUGUACAGUACAUGUUUUCUCGUAAGAAUUUGUCCUGCAAACAGUCCCUUUUCACCGUUAUUUCUAUAUGGUUUAUUAACAAGUGAAAUUUUUCAGUGGACUAUGUAUGGAAUAUCAAGAUUUGGUUAUUUUUACAUAAUUUUUUUAUUUAAAAAUAAUUAUUAUUAUACUAAUAUGAAAGGACUUCUAUAUUGAUAUAAUGAUUAUCCCACCAACAUAAUUACAUUGUCAACAAAAAUAUCCACUUUAAAUUUUAAAACGCAAACAAUUUAAAUUAUGAAACAACACCCUUAUUUGGUUAUCACAGUAUUUUUUUAUUUGAUGAUAAUUAUUAUUAUACCUUUAUGAAAAUAUUUUCAUAUUGAUGAGGAUUUUUUAAUAUAAUGAUUAUCCCACUAACAGAUUACAUUGUUAACAAAAUCAGUCCUUUAUAAUUUAAACGUUAAACAAUUUUAUUUAUGAAAUAACUUUAUAAAAUUUCUAUCAUGUUUCACAAUUCAAUAAAAUAGGGAGUCUAUAUUAAUAUUAAUAAACCAAAAUUUGGUUAACAUAAUUUUUUUAUGAAUAACAAAAUAACUAUUAUUAUACUAUUAUUAUUAUAAUAGUAUCAGUAGACUAGUUUAAAAAAAAAAAAAGUAUGAGUAGACUUUAUAUAUUGACCAAAAUUUUGGUAUGUAACGAUUAGGACACCGACAUAAUUACAUAAUUAUCUACAAAACUAUUUAUCUUAAUUUUUUAAACUUAAAUAGUUCAAUUAACGAAACAAAUCUAAUUUAGUUAUUGACAUAUAUAUAUAUAUAUAUAUAUAUAUUAUUUAAUAUUAAUAAUUAUUAUAUUACUAUGAAAAGUCUUUCAUAUUGAUCACAAUUUUAUAAUAUUUUUGAUUUAAUAAUAAUAAAUAUUAUACUAUAAAAAAAACUUCCAUGUUGAUUAGAAGUUUAUAAUGUAAUAAUUAUACUACAACAGGUUGCAUUACCUAUAAAAAUAUUAGUCUUAAUUUUUAAAACUCAAACAAUUUAAUUAAUGAAAUGACUCGAAUUUAAUUAUCAUGAUAUAAUAAUUAUAUAAUAUUACUAUGCAAAUAUUUUCAUAUUGAUCGGUAUUUUAUAAUGCAACAAUUAUCUCAACAACAGAAUCACAUUGCCAACAAAUCUAUUUAUUUUAAUUUUUUAAAACUCAAACAACUUAAUUUAUGAAAAAACUUUAUAGAAUUCUUAUGACGUGUCAUAAUAAAAAUGAAUAAAGAGUCCAUAUUAUAUUAUAAACCAAAUUUAUAUUAAUAUAAAAUUUAAUUCAACACUUGUCUUUCGAAAUAUUGCAAUAAAGACCAAAAAAGUUGGGGUAAUAAUGCGAUGACUCCGUGGAGAAAAAAAAGGCACUAAACAAUUGUCCAUGUUAUAGAUUUAUAGCCAUACAAUGCAAGGACAGAAAAUCACAACAUUGCUAAAAAAAAGAAGAGAACAAAUUACUUUUGAAUUAGAUUUAUUUAGCUUAAACCCUCUCUUACAAUUAUAUAUUAAUUUGUCAAAUUCUAAAGGAACUCUAAUUAAUUAAUAUUACACACACGUCUAAAAUAACUAUGAAUUAAAAAAAUUUAAAUUAUACUACAGACUGAAUACCUACAAACCACCUUAUAAUAUACGUUGGUUCUGAAUAUAUAUUUCAACUCUUUAGAAAUCAUAAAACAACAUAAUGAUUUGUUAAAAUAAAACACAUAAUUCUGAAUUAAAUUCAUAUCAUAACUGUAUGCGAGAAUUAUUUUUAGAAAAAAAAUAAUUUAAAAUAUGAUCAAAUGUUCAUCACAGAAAAUUAUAUAUAUAAAGAUUAAUAGUUUAAAUAUGUAUAUUAAAAUCAUUAUAUUUCUAAUAAAUUUCAAAAUUUUAAUUUUUGUAUAAUUUUCACCAGUGCAUAUUUUUCUAGCAGGAUGGAUCCAUUUUAUUUUCAUGUUGUUAGGGAAUAUAAAGUGAAUGUUGAUUAAUUCAUUUGAAUAGUCAUGUGGUAAUAUUGGUAAAGUGUGAAGAAAUUGUUUUUGGCAAGAAACUGUUCGAUAGAAUGCCUAUAACAUGUGUUGUUUGGCCGAGUAAAAAUUACGGGCCUGUAAAAGCACUGUAUUUGAAGGAGGCGCUAAAUGUUUUUAUUGAUAGGAAAAGAAGUGGGAUGAGGUCUAAUCAAGUUGGAAGAACUCCUGGAGUAGAAGCAGUGGAGUGUGGAAAACGUUUAUAGUGAAAUUUUUAGAAAAUAUAAAGGGACUGUUUGGGUGACUUUAAAAUUAAAUGUUUUUUGUUUAAAGUAGAGAAGUGAAGUAGAAGUUAGAAGUAAAUUAAGAGUUAUGAGUGUUUGAAAAAUAAGUAGAAGUCAGCUUCGAUUCUUGACUUUUUACUUUUUACGUAAACUGUACGAAUAAGUGCUUCUAAUUUAUAUCCCGAGCCGGACUUAAAAGUUAUAGCCAAACACCCCAAUAUAACGACGUCUUUGCUUCAAAAUCGUAUUUUUGUGAUACUUUCUGAUAACCCUUUCAUUCAUCUAGUACUUCUAUAUGUUCCAGAUUCUCUCACUGUCACUGUACUGUUGUAAUUUUAUUGAUGAUUUUUUCUAGACAUAUUUAUUUAAUAUUCAUUUCCAUUUUUGUUUGGUGAUUUUUUAUUUUUACAAUUUGGGUCAUGACAAGUUCGAGAUUCUAGGGUCUAAUGCAUUGGAUGUUCAUCAUCUUUAAUAAAAUCCGUUCUCAAAGUCCCAGGUACUUGUUUAUGGCGUAUCACUUACUCUCUCCGUCCCAAUCAAUUCUAUACAGUUUCCUUUUUGGGAUGUCCCAUCAUUUCUAUACAUUCCCAAAAUAGCAACUUUUUAUAAUAUAAAACAUUAUUACACCCACUACAUUCUCCCACUAUCUCCAUUAUAUAAUAAUAAAAACACUAUUACACCCACUACUUUACUCCACUAUCUCAAAUCUAUUAUUAAAAAAUAUAUGGGUCCCACCACUUUACCAACUUUCCAUAUAACUCUACUCAUUUCUUACACUUUUUCUUGGUCUCCGUGUCCGAUCCCAAUGUAUAUAAUUCAUUGGGACGGAGGGAGUAUAUAUUUAAACACCAACAUAUUGGCGAUUAUUUCACACAUUCCACAUCAGCCAAACCAGAUAGGUGAUGUUGGCAAUUGGAAAUUAUUUAGUUUAUCAGAUGCAUGUUUACCAGACUGGGGCAAUGACAGCACCAAUGACAGUAAGGCCAGUCUUCCAGGUGGUUCCAUCACAUCCAUUCAUCGAGAACUUGACAGUAUUCUCACAGCCGCAUGCUGAGUUGAUGAAUUCACCAACCUUAAGUCCCACCAAUGUAUUCUUUGGCUUGGUCUCCAAAUCUUCCUUGUGCUCUUCAGUAGUGCGGUUGGGACGAGUAAGCUUAAGGGUCACUGGACCGUUCAUGCAAAGAUUGUCGCUAAGCUCCACAACAAAAUACACUCCGUAUUUCACUCCCUUUUUCAGGUUGCUGGUAUCGUACUCUCCGUCAAUUUGGAGCCAGCAUACUGUAAUUAGUUUAGCAACCUCCAGAGCCUCGCAGCUGUGUGUACAAAAGUCCCAAAAACCAAAUAUUACGUAAAAAUUUAUCUCAAAUCUUUGGUCUCGAAAAAUGAAAGUCAAUGUCCAGUCAUUAAAUUCUGUAGUAUAAAAACACCUACGCGUUCCAACAUGUGCUAUAUAUACAUACCUGAUUGGGUAGGUCUUAGAAACCCAUUUCCAGUAGCGGCUGUCUGAACCCCAGACUAUUGAGAGUUCCUUUGCGGUGAUAACCGCAGCGCAGGACUAAAACAUUUAAUUAACAACGGAGAUAUUUCAGAAUUAAAUUAUAUCAUACAAAAUUUAUAUGGCUAAUUAGACUAUAAGAACAAGUCACACGCAUGACAAUAAUACUAUUGCAGAACUAUAAUUUCAGUAGCUUCCAUAAAAAGGUACCGAAUAUUAACAGCCAAAACAACUUACACUCUUGUCUUUCACAGCCUGGACACCUUGAGUCCACAACGACACGAUGUCAUCACGCUGCAAUUGAGCCAUCUUCCUUGCUAGUUGAGAAUAAGCAGUACUUGUGUAAUUCUUGUGCUGUCGAUGCCAAUCCUCACAGCUUCCUUGAGCUCUAUUUACAGCGUUGAGUACGGUCCUAUUUGUGCACUUAUUGAUAGUUAUACUUAACCUUAUCUACGGUAGUAGGAUGCUCUGUCCUGUUAUUCUUUCUUUUUAUUAAAUAAGUGGAGCUUGGAUAAGAGAUUCAUCAAUUAUUUAUGCCAUUUGUGCGGUAGAAGCCUCACUGGAAUCUGGUAACUUUCGGUUUUGAUUGAAAUACUCAUAUAACGAUGAAAUUGUGGAAGCAUCCUACUAUGAAAAAAGAAAUACAUACAGUGACAGGAGUACUUCUGUCAGAUCUCGGACAUUGCUCAACUCGAUUAACUCUAAAAUUUAAUAUUGGCACACAUGAACCAAACCACAAAAAACUGAGCCUCUGAUGAAUCGUUGAACCAGAAUAUUCUUGAAACUGAACUAGAAAAUUCGUCACAAGAUCUGCCUGUAUAAAUAAACUUAUAAUUACUUUCAAGGCUGUUAAAUUUCAUAAUAUAUGUUUGUGAAAAAAUAUUCUAAAUCCAGAAAAUUGACUAGCACAGGCUAUUUCCGACCAUUAUUGGUAACCUUUUUGCCAAGAAAACCGACCAAAUUAAGUUAUUUCUGACUAAACACAUAAUUUAAGAAAUGAACCACAUUUCCGACCGCUAGUGUAUGAAAUCGGUCGGUAAUGAUUUCACGGUCGAAAAUGAAUUUUUAGUUUGUUGGUUUUAAAACAGAGAAUCCCCAAAUGAACCCUGAAAUACCUUCCGACUGACUCAUUUCCAACCAACUCAGUUGGUCGGUUUUAUAAUAGGGGCUCCCCAAUUGAACCCUGAAUUUCGUUCAGACCUUAUCAUUUCCGACCAACUUUAUUGGUUGGUUUUAAAACAAGCCCCCUGAAUGAACCCUGAAUUUAUUUAUGGCAACCUCCAGUCACUUUUAGGUCUAUUCACAUGUAUGCCAAGUUCUAAGAAGAUUUUAAAACAUUACCGACUAAAGAUAGCGGUCGGUCGUCGGUCGGUUAUAAAUAUCAUUUCCGACCGAUCUGUUAUUUACAACCAGGUUUUAAAGGACCAACACAAUCGGUCGGUCGGUGGUCGGUUACGAGGUGAAAACCGACCAACUCUCUUUAUUUUCGGUCGGCGGUCGGAAAUGCCCGUUUUUCUUGUAGUUAUAUCAACUUCCAUCGGAACACAAUAUCUUACACCUUUAAGUCAUAAAUCACUGUUUUAAACUUUCCAAACAGCUUCCAAGUAUCAUAUUAAGAUUAUCCGAUGGACCUACUCGAAACAGUAUAAAACAUAUACAAACGAACACCACCAGAGCAAGGGUGUAGCCAAAAAGCUCAGAAAUUGCUCUAAAAACUUUACAACAUCUCGUACAAGGGAGUAACUAAACAAAAGGUGAUUAAAACACUGUGCUUAAAGUGUCAACGAAACAAAGAUUGUGUACACUUGAAUGAAAUAAAAUGAAAAAAAAGAAUGAAAUGGAAAAUUGUAAAUAAAUUUAAUGGAAAAUGAACAAGUUACGAGUAGAGUUACGAAAAUCGGACCUACUCAUUUAACCUACCGAUUUAGGAUUAUCAGCAAUCUGCGAUUAAUCGGAAGGAUUAAUUGGAGUGAAAACUAGAUAUAUUUUAAUAUUAAAUAAUAAUAAAUAUUUUGUUAUUAUUAUAUUAGUUAUUUAUCAACAAAUAUAUAUUUACUAUAUCAUAAAUUCUACAGUUGUUCAUAUUUAUAGUAAUAUAAUAGUUAAUUUUAAUAAAUUUUAUAUAUACUUUGAUUAAGAAAAUUUUAUAAGGAUUAAUCAGGUUUAAAAAAUCAAAUUAGUCGCCUACCUUGGGGGAUUGAUCGUUAAGUCAAGGGAUUUUUAGAACAAUGGUUAUGAGACAAUAGUGACUAAACACGAAUGAGCCUAAAUUUAGUGUGCUCUUAGACUUUGUUCACUUGGAUGGAAUGAAAUGAUGAGAAAAUGAAAUGAAAUUUGUAUUAUAUUUUGGGGAGGUUGGAGUAAAUGUUUAUAAUUUUCAUUCAUUCAAUCAUUUACACACCAUUCUACACCAUUUGAGUUAAAAAAUCUAACCACAUAUUUUGAAAGGAAUGCUGAUUCCAUUUCUUCUAUAUUUUCCCAACAAUCCCCGUCAUGCGAAAUUCAGAUUCUCAACCUCACUCACUAUUGUCUCAUACAUUCUCCUUUCUGUUUUUGUAGUUUUUCAUUCCAAGUGAACGCAACUUUAGUGUGCUUAAUUAAACAAACAUCAGCACAAAACAAUAUACAGUUCCUCAUUAUGUUUAACUAAUCUUUUAGUAAGACCUUUAAGUUAAAAGUGCUAAAGUAACAGUAGAGACCUUGAAGCAAUUACGAGCUAAACGUUAUAAUAGCCUGAACACUCCGUACUUUAACUUUUUAUAUAUUAAAACACCAAGAUAUUGGCGAUUAUUUCACACAUUCCAUAUCAGCCACACGUACCAGACAGGUAAUGUUGGCAAUUAAUUGGAAAUUAUUUAGUACAUGAUGAUUGUGAGCCACUACAAGAAAAACAGACUCAGACAACACCUUUCAGACAACACAACGAAAAAAAACCGUUGCGAAAAAAGAACACACAACGGUUGCUUUUUUGACCUCGACUAUCCAUUGUCUAAACCAGGACUCAUACUACGGUUUUUAAAAGCGUUGUUAAAAAAUAUGUAAAAAAGUUUGUUUGACACAACAGUUUAUAAAGACCAUUGUUUUUCAGAAAUUCACACAAUUGUCUAUAAAACUGUUGUUAAAUAUUAUACAACGGGUUUCCAAAACCAUUGUUAUUUGCAAAGUCAGACAAUGUUGUCAAGUAACCGUUGUAAUUAAUAAACAACGGUUGGGGAAACAGUUGUGUUUGUACAUAUUACACAAUAUUCCACUAAACCGUUGUUAAAGAAUGCACAACGAUUUUAAUAAUGAGUUGUUGUAUUCAAAUUCACACAACCGUUUUUGGUAGCAUUGUUCUUUAAACCUCGCACAACAGUUUGGCUUAAUUAUAUGUAUUGUAUUGUUGUAUCAUUUUAACUCAUACAACAGAUGAGUAUAUAGAAACCGUUGUCUAUUAGAGACACUAAAAGACAAAAAUUACCUUUUUAUAAUAAGACAAAAUUUACAAUUGACUAUUUUUGUUAAAAAAACAUAUAAAACAAACAUAAAAAAAAUUAAUUUUUUUUAUACAUGACUAAUAUUGGUAGUUCUUAACAUCCGUACGGUUAGAUCAUCAAAAAAAAUAUUUAUAAAUUAUUACGGAACUAAUCUUAUAGAUAACAAAAUUUCUAACCAGUGCUUCCUAAAUUGUAAACAUAAAACACAUACUAAGAGGGGUGUAUUGGAUUGGGAUUUUAAAGAUUUUUUUGCAUUCAUGAAAUCCGAGGGUAUUCGAUUGGGAUUGUUUGAAAUCCAUUAAAAUCUUGAGGUAUUCAAUUGGGAUUUUAAAUUAUGCUUUAAAAUCCGAUGGUAUUCAAUUGGGAUUGUUUAAAAUCCAUUAAAAUCUGAUGGUAUUCAAAUGCUGAUGGAUUUUUUUUCAUUUCAUAAAAUGAUGGAUUUUGUGGCAUUCUUCAGUGUAUUUUAAGUUUUUUGAAAUCCCACCAAAUUCAAUGGGAUUUUGAAGCAUUGUACCUAAAUCCUAUCAACUCUGCGACAUUUCAUCAAGAAUCCGCACAAAAUCAAAAUCUCAUACAAUCCAUUAAAAUCCAUAGACUAAAAACAAUGCAUUAAAAUCCCAAUCGAAUACACCCCCGUAAUACUCACGUCCGAACUACAAAAUUAUCUUCUUGUUACAAAUGAACAAUACAAAUUUGCAUAUAUGUUUAAUACAAAUAUAAUUUUUAGAUAAAAAACAUAAAAAUAAGGAUUUUUCAAGGAUAAGAGAAUCUUUAACUCUUAAAAAAAAUAAUUUAUUAGACAACUGUUUUUUUCCAAUAAAUUGUUGUUUACACUACUUACAUACAACGAGUUUUGUUGAAAACGUUGUUUGAGCUUAUUUUGGACAAUAAUUUCUCUUACAAAAAUUCUCAUGGGACAAUAACCAUUGUCUAUUUACAAGAAAAUGUGGCACCACCUGAUUGGUGGAAAAUAUUUCACCUGGAUUGCUUACUUGGCAAAAUGUCACCAAUUGAUUGACUUCACCUGGAUCACUUAGUUGGCAUAAUAAGAGCCCUUGACUUUCUGAAGGUGUCACACAACGGUUUUUUAAGAAAACUGUUGUAUAAUAUCUAAUUCUUAAAUUUUUUAAUUUUAUAAUGACUUUGAAAUUGAUUUUUAAAAUUUUUAAAUUUGAAUAAUAAAAUAAUAUGACAGUCAAAAUUUAAUAAAUUUUAUCAUUUAAAAUUUGACCAUGGCUAUUAUAAACUCUUAGAUCAACCUGAACUAGGUCUAUCAUAAUCAAACAUGAUUACGCUCGAGAGCGCCCAAUGAGCGCCUUGGGAGCGCCCUAUAAGCGCCCCAGGAAAAAUUUUCAUUAACCAGCUCUACGCCUCUACCUCUCUAGAGAAACACAUUCUCUGUCUCUUCUCUCUCAAACAAACUCUCUCAUUUUCUUCACUGUGGAACAAAUUCCAGAUCUUUCUUCUCAGUCUCUUCGUCUCGUCGGCUGGGUCCGGAGCGCCCGAGAAGCGCCCUGGGAGCGCCCCAGGAGCGCCAAGUGCGCCCGAGGUGCGCUUGAGGACCUCACCAGCGUCGACCUGGGCACCAAGGAUGCCCUAAAUCGACCUGGGUGAGGUCGAAAAAUGACUUGGGCGUCAAAAAACACCCAACGCCCGAGAGCGCCAGAGAAGCGCCCUGGGAGCGUCCUAUGAGCGCCCCAGGAGCGCCAAUAGCGCCCGAGGUGCGCCUGAGGACCUCACCAGCGUCGACCUGGGCACCAAGGAUGCCCUAAAUCGACCUGGGUGAGUUCGAAAACUGACUUGGGCGUCAAAAAACACCCAACGCCCGAGAGCGCCCGAGAAGCGCCCUGGGAGCGUCCUAUGAGCGCCCCAGGAGCGCCAAUAGCGCCCGAGGUGCGCCUGAGGACCUCACCAGCGUCGACCUGGGCACCAAGGAUGCCCUAAAUCGACCUGGGUGAAGGGCAACAUACAUACUAAGUAAGAGAUAAGGGAGAGAGACAAAUAGAGAGAGAGCGACUGAGAGAUAGUAACAGUCAGAGGGAGGGACAGAGUGAGAGAGGGAGACACAUAGAGAGAUCGGGAAAUAUAUUCUAAGAGAGUGGAGAUGGAGGGAAGGAGGGAGAGAGAGAUUUUUAGGACAUUCACUGAGAAAGCAAUGUCUAAAAUGUGAGUAUUAAUUUAUGAUGGGUCCUCAUUAAUGUCUGGGCUAAUACAUUUUGCCUUUAGAAAGCCUUUCCCCUUGCUGAUUUAUCUUUAUUUGUAUAACCCUGCAGUCAUAAUCUUUAUUUUGGUGCGCAUUAUUAAUUUUGGAGUUGCUUUCUGCGCUGACAUUUUUAUGAUUGCAGUCAGAAACUCAAUUUUCCUACUAGAGCUAUGUUCUGUUUCAUGACACAAAAUAGCUUACAAUUAGUGUAUGAGGGCCUUCGAUUUGGGUCCUUCGAUUUGCAGUCUAGAGGGCCUGGUUGGCAAGUUGAGACUGGUAGAAUGGACAACUUAACUACUAGCAAAACUACAACAAACAAUAACAUUCCACCCCAACUUCCGAUUAUAUCAGCACACGUAUAUGCCUAUGUAUUAUUUUACCAUAAUGGCGAGUUCUCUCGAUAUUGCUUGAUUAAUUUGCAUAACUUGUCUUUGCUGCAGGUAUUACAAUCUCGCACAUGCAGUGAAUGAAAGAGUUUUAAGGCAGCCCUCAAUGCUACAAGCUGGAAUCUUGAGAGAUUAUCAUAUUGUAUGUUCCAUUUUUCUGAGAGACUGAUCUAAAUAAAACUUAUUCUUUGGUUUAUUGUCUUAUGUCAUUGCGAGUAGCUCUUUCUUGUUAACAUAGCAACAAGUAGAUCCUUGCCAGUCAUGUGUAGUAUUAUGGAACAUUUGAUUUUUGAUUUGUUGAUGCAGAUAAGGACAACUACGUCAACUACCACAAGAGAUUAAUUGAUUUAGUAAAUAUCAGACGGUUAUGAGGACGACAACACCAUGGGUAGUGCCCAGCCAGCUUAUACUUCAAUGAGAAAGUAUGUAAGGUACUAUAGAGACUUUGUGAUUGGGCUUAACAAAUCCUUGGUGGAUGAUUCCAGUAUUGAGAUAUGCAUGCUUGUACAAGGUUAUUUGUAGCCAUUUGAAAUGUUAUUAAUUUAGUUUGUACAAAUUAUUUUAAUCUUUUGUUAGGCAAAGAUUUGACUUUCAGUUACUUGUAUAAAUUGUAUAAGACAAUAGUUUGAUUUCUAAAGUUUUUACCAUCUCAACAAUUGUACAAAUAAAGUUCACACAACUGUUGACUCUAUUAAUGCAAGAAAACACAUUAUUUUAUCGAAAUUGUUGUGGGGAGGGAAGAAAGACAAUACUUUGUCUCAAGGGAACUAUUGAAUAACAAAUUGUUUUAAAACAUUCUUUUAUAACUAAACCGUUGAAUGGAGUAAUUUCAAACAAUAUUUUUUUUUUUGGUAUUAUUGACUAUAGGAAAGAAGGACAAUCUUUCGUCUCAGGGGAACUAUUGUCUGAAACAUAUCAGACAUGUGGUAUGCAUUUAAGAAACGCAUGAAUAACACAAGGUCUUACAACACUCUGUUACAUCAAAACAGUUGUGUAUACCAACCUUCCAACAACAUUUUCUCGUAUUUGCGUUGUUGUCUUGCAGUAAGACAGACAACGAUUGCGUACCGUUGUCUCAUCCCAGUAUCAGACGGCAUCUCAAUACUCAACGGUAUUUGAGGGUUUCAGACAACGGGUAAUUUCCGUUGUCUGAGAUUCAUGUUUAGCAGUUAACUGGGGCAAUGACAGCACCAACGACAGUAAGGCCCGUCUUCCAGGUGGUUCCAUCACAUCCAUUCAUCGAGAACUUGACAGUAUUCUCACAGCCACAGGCGCCUGUGUUGCAGAAUUCACCAACCUUAAGUCCCACCAAAGUAUUCUUUGGCUUGGUCUUCAAAUCUUCCUUGUGCUCUUCAGUAGUGCCGUUGGGACGAGUAAGCUUAAGUGUCACUGGACCGUUCAUGCAAAGAUUGUCGCUAAGCUCCACAGCCAAAUACACUCCGUAUUUCACUCCCUUGAUGAGGUUGUUGGCAUUGUACUUUCCGUCAAUUUGUAGCCAGCAUACUGUGAUCAGUUCAGCAACCUCCAGAGACUGGCAGCUGUGUGUACAAAAGUCCGAAAAACCAAAUAUUAUGUAAAACUUUAUCUCAAAUCUUUGGUCUCGAAAAAUGGAAGUCAAUAAUGUCCAGUCAUUAAAUUUUGUAGUACAAAAACACCAAAAGCUUUCCAACAUGUGCUAUACAUACCUGAUUGGGUAGGUCUUAGAAACCCAUUUCCAGUAGCGGCUGUCUGAACCCCAAACUAUUGAGAGCUCCUUUGCACUGAUAACCGCUGCGAAGGACUGGACCAAUUCAUCAACAUUAACGGAGGUAUUUCCGAAUCAAAAUAUAUCGUACAAAAUUAUAUGACUAAUUAGACUAUAAUUAAGAACAAGUCACACGCAGGUAUACUGGUGUGUGCAUGGUGCAUGAAAAUAAUACUAUUGCAGAAUUAUAAUUUCAAUAGCUUAAUUAGUAUAUAAAAAGGUACCGAAAAUUAACAACCAAAACAACUUACACUCUUGUCUUUCACAGCCUGGACACCUUGAGUCCACAACGACACGAUGUCAUCACGCUGCAAUUGAGCCAUCUUCCUUGCUAGUUGAGAAUAAGAAGUUCUUGUGUAAUUCUUGUGCUGUCUAUGCCAAUCCUCACUUCCUUGAGCUGUAUUUAUAGCGUUUCAGACGGUCCUAUUUGUGCACUUAUUGAUAGUUACACUUAACCUUAUCUAUGGUAGUAGGAUGCUCUGUCCCGUUAUUCUUUCUUUUUAUUAAAUAAGUGGAGCUUGAAUAAGAGAUUCAUCAAUUAUUUAUGCCAUUUGUGCGGUAGAAGCCUCACUGGAAUCUGGUAACUUUCGGUUUUGAUUGAAAUACUCAUAUAACGAUGAAAUUGUGGAAGCAUCCUACUAUGAAAAAAGAAAUACAUACAGUGACAGGAGUACUUCUGUCAGAUCUCGGAAAUUGCUCAACUCGAUUAACUCUGAAAUUAAAUAUUGGCACACAUGAACCAAACCACAAAAAACUGAGCUUCUCAUGAAUCGUUGAACAAGUAUAUUCUGGAAACUGAACUAGAAAAUUCGUCACAAGAUCUGCCUGUAUAAAUAAACUUAUAAUUACUUUCAAGGCUGUUAAAUUUUAUAAUAUAUGUUCGUGAAAAAAUAUUCCUAAUCCAGAAUACCAACUACCACAGGUUGUUUCUGACCAUUAUUGGUAACCUUUUUGCCCAGAUACCGACCAAAUUAAGUUAUUUCUAAGUAAACACAUAAUUUAAGAAAUGAACCACAUUUCCGACCGCUAGUGUAUGAAAUCCGGUCGGUAAUGACUUCACGGUCGGAAAUGAAUUUAGUUUGUUGGAUUUAAAACAGCGAAUCCCCAAAUGAUCCUGCAAUACCUUCUGACUGAAUUUUUUUUAAAAAAAAACCCUUCUGACCGACUCAUUUCCGACCAACUCAGUUGGUCGCUUUUAUAAUAGGGGCUCCCCAAUUGAACCUUGAAUUUCGUUUUGACCGAAUCAUUUCCGACCAACGUUAUUGGUUGGUUUUAAAACAGGGCCCCAAAUGAACCCUAAAAUUUAUUUCCGACCGCCCCUAGUUGCUUUUAGGUCUAUUCAAGUGUAUGCCAGGUUCUAAGAAAAUUUUAAAACAUUACCGACUAAAGAUAGCGGUCGGUUGUCGGUCGGUUAUAAAUAUCAUUUCCGAUCUUUUAUUUACAACCAGGUUUUAAAGGACCAACACAAUCGGUCGGUCGGUGGUCGGUUACGAGUUGAAAACCGACCAACUCUCUUUAUUUCCGGUCGGCGGUCGGAAAUGCCCGCUUUUCUUGUAGUGAUAGCAACUUCCAUCGGAACACAAUAUCUUACACUUUUUAAGUCAUAAAUCACUGUUUUAAACUUUCCAAACAGCUUCCAAGUAUCAUAUUAAGCUUAUCUGAUGGCCCUUGUACUCGAAACAGAAUAAAACAUAUACAAACGAACACCACCAGAGCAAGGGUGUAGCCAAAAAGCUCAGAAAUUGCGUUAAAACCUUUUUAACAUCUUUGUGCGAGGGAGUAACUAAACAAAAGGUGAUUAAAGCACUCUGCUUAAAGUGUCAACGAAACUAAGUUCGUGUACACUUGAAUGAAAUUGAAAAAAAGAAUGAAAUGGAAAAUUGUUCGUAAAUUUAAUGGAAAAUGAACAAGUUACGAGCAGUGUUACGAAAAUUGGACCUAAUCGGUUAUCCUACCCAUUCAGGAUUAUCGGCAAUACGUGAUUAAUCGGAAGGAUUAAUUGGAGUGAAAACCAGAUAUAUUUUAAUAUUAAAUAAUAUUUAAUAUUUUUUUAUUAUUAUAUUAGUUAUUUAUUAUCAAAUAUAUAUAUUUAGUAUAUCAUAAAUUCUACGGUUGUUCAUAUUUAAAGUAAUAUAAUAGUUAAUUUUAAUAAAUUUUAUAUAUAAUUUGAUUAAAAAAAAUUUAUAAGGAUUAAUCAGAUUUUAAAAAUCAUAUCGGUCGCCUACCUUGGGGGAUUGAUCGUUAAAUCAAGCGAUUUUUAGAACAAUGGAUACGAGACAAUAGUGACUAAACACGGAUGAGCCUAAAUUUAGUGUACUCUUAGACUUUGCUGAGAGAAUGAAAUGAAAAUUGUAUUAUAUUUUGGGGAGGUUGGAGUAAAUGUUUAUAAUUUUCAUUACUUCUAUCAUUCUACACACCAUUCUACGUACACCAUUUGAGUUAAAAAAAUCUAACCCACAUAUUUUGAAAGGAAUGCUCGAUUCCAUUUCAUCUAACCCACAUAUUUUGAAAGGAAUGCUCGAUUCCAUUUCUUCUCUAUUUUCCAACAAUCCCCGUCAUGCAAAAUUCAGAUUCUCGAACUCACUCACUAUUGUCUAAUACAUUCUCCUUUCUCUUUUGUAGUUUCUCAUUCCAAGUGAACGCAACUUUAGUGUGCUUAAUUAAACAAACAUCAGCACACAACAAUAUACAGUUCCUCAUUAUGUUUAACUUAUCUUUUAGUCAGAUCUUUAAGUUGAAAGUGCUAAAGUGACAGUAGAGACCUUGAAGCAAUUACGAGCUAAACGUUAUAAUAGCUUGAACACUCCUUACUUUAACUUUUUAUAUAUUAAAAGCACCAACAUAUUGGCGAUUAUUUCACACAUUCCAUAUCAGCCACACCAGAUAGUUGAUGUUGGCAAUUGGAAAUUAUUUAGUACAUGAUGAUAAUCAGAUUCAUGUUUAGCAGUUAACUGGGGCAAUGACAGCACCAACGACAGUAAGGCCAGUCUUCCAGGUGGUUCCAUCACAUCCAUUCAUCGAGAACUUGACAAUAUUCUCACAGCCGCAGGGGGCUGUGUUGCAGAAUUCACCAACCUUAAGCCCCACCAAUGUAUUCUUUGGCUUGGUCGUCAAAUCUUCCUUGUGCUCUUCAGUAGUGCCGUUGGGACGAGUAAGCUUAAGGGUCACUGGACCGUUCAUGCAAAGAUUGUCGCUAAGCUCCACAGCAAGAUACACUCCGUAUUUCACUCCCUUGAUGAGGUUGGUGGCACUGUACUUUCCGUCAAUUUGUAGCCAGCAUACUGUGAUGAGUUCAGCAACCUCCAGAGGCUGGGGACUGUGUGUACAAAAGUCCGAAAACCCAAAUAUCAUGUAAAAAUUUGUCUCAAAUCUUUGGUCUCGAAAAUUGGAAGUCAAUGUCCAGUCAUUAAAUUCCAACAUGUGCUAUAUAUACAUACCUGAUUGGGUAUUUCUUAGAAACCCAUUUCCAGUAGCGGCAGUCUGAACCCCAAACUAUUGAGAGUUCCUUUGCACAGAUAACCGCAGCGAAGGACUGGACCAUUUAAUCAACAUUAACGGAGAUAUUUCCGAAUCAAAAUAUAUCGUACAAAAUUAUAUGACUAAUUAGACUAUAAUUAAGAACAAGUCACUGGUGUGUGCAUGGUGCAUGACAGUACUAAUAAUAUUGCAGAAUUAUAAUUUCAUUACCUAAAUAAAAAAAGUAGUGAAAAUUAACAACCAAAAUAACUUACACUCUUGUCUUUCGCAGCCUGGACACCUUGAGUCCACAACGACACGAUGUCAUCACGCUGCAAUUGAGCCAUCUGCCUUGCGAGUUGAGAAUAAGAAGUUGUUGUGUAAUUCUUGUGCUGUCGAUGCCAAUCCUCACUUCCUUGAGCUGUAUUUAUAGCGUUUCAGACGGUCCUAUUUGUCCACUUAUUGAUAGUUACACUUAACCUUAUCUACGGUAGUAGGAUGCUCUGUCCCGUUAUUCUUUCUUUUUAUAAAAUAAGUGGAGCUUGGAUAAGAGAUUCAUCAAUUAUUUAUGCCAUUUGUGCGGUAGAAGCCUCACUGGAAUCUGGUAACUUUUGGUUUUGAUUGAAAUACUCAUAUAACGACGAAAUUGUGGAAGCAUCCUACUAUGAGAAAAGAAAUACAGUGACAGGAGUACUUCUGUCAGAGCUAGGAGCCUAGGACAUUACUCAACUCGAGUAACUCUGAAAUUUAAUAUUGGCACAGAUGAACCAAACCACGAAACAUUGAGCUUCUCAGUAAUUGUUGAACCAGAAUUUUCUGGCAACUGAACUAGAAAAUUCGUCACAAGAUCUUGCUGUAUAUAUAAAUAAACUUAUAAUUACUUUCAAGGCUGUUAAAUUUCAUAAUAUAUGUUUGUGAAUAAAUAUUGAAUUAGUUGUUGAGUGAGUGUCAACCCUAGUCCCACGGAAAGAUAAAUAAGAUUUGUCUUAAACUUUAUUAGUAUGAGGUCUUCUGGGAGGAGUUUAAAAACAAAUCCGUGCGGGCUUGUGGAGUUGACAUGUGUUGCGCGGCCAAUAUUAGUAGCCAAGGAGAAGUUUAAUUGAUCAUAGGUGAAAUGGGGUCUGGGUACAUCCACUAAUUUCAAGGACAAGCCUGCAAUGGAAGAAUGAAAUCUGUCACAAAUGGAAUUGCAUAUGUCAUUUUUGACGGUUAAAUCCGUCAAAACUUUUCUCCAUUGCUAGGUUAAAGGGUUGUGUUACUUGUGUAGUUAACAGAACUGCCGCAUGGAAUUCAUCUAGUACUUGUAUAUGUUCCAGAUUCUCUCGCUGUCACUGUACUGUUGUAAUUUUAUUGAUGAUUUUUUCGAAACAUAUUUAUUUAAUAUUCAUUCACCAUUUUUGUUUGGCCAUAUUUUCUUGGCUUAAAGCAAGUGCUAGAAUAAAAGUAACAGUUACGACCCAAGCAGUAAAAUUGAAGGAACACUCCUUACUUUAACUUAUUAUUCAUUAAAACACCAACAUAUUGGCGAUUAUUUCACACAUUCCACAUCAGCCACACCAGAUAAGUGAUGUUGGAAAUUAGAAAUUAUUUAGUACAUGAUGAUUAUCAGAUUCAUGUUUAGCAGAUAACUGGGGCAAUGACAGCACCAAUGACAGUAAGGCCAGUCUUCCAGGAGGUUCCAUCACAUCCAUUCAUCGAGAACUUGACGGUUUUCUCACAGCCGCAGGCCGGGUUGGUGAAUUCACCCACCUUAAGUCCCACCCAUGUAUUUUUCGGCUUGGUAUGCAAAUCAUCGU
rnacentral:lncRNA from 1 species